rnacentral:rRNA from 1 species
GAUGAACGCUGGCGGCGUGCCUAAUACAUGCAAGUCGAGCGAACAGACCAUGAUCUUGCUCCUCUCACGUUAGCGGCGCACGUGUGAGUAACGCGUGUAUAACCUACCUAUAAUAGUGAGAUAACUUCGGGAAACCGGAUCUAAUACCGGAUAAUAUAUUGAACCACGGUGUGCGAUGGUGAAAGACGGUUUUUCUGUCACGUCUAGCUGCAUCCGGGCCGCAUUAGAUGGUUGGUAAGGUAACGGCUUAGGAAGGCAACGAUGCGUAGGCGACGUGAGAGAGUGAUCGGCGACAUGGGAAGUGGGACGGGGUCAAGACGCCUAAGGGAGGCAGCAGACGGGAACCGUCAGCAAUGGGCGAAAGCAUGACGGAGCAAGGCCGCGUGAGUGAUGAAGGUCUCCGGAUCGUAAAAAUGGGUUACUAGUUAAGAACAAAUGUGUAAGUAAAUAUGCCCGUCUUGACGGUAAUUAAUAAGAAAGCACCGGCUAACUACGUG